rnacentral:rRNA from 1 species
UACAGAGGGGGCAAGCGUUAUUCGGAAUUAUUGGGCGUAAAGCGCACGUAGGCGGCUUUGUAAGUUAGGGGUGAAAGCCCGGAGCUCAACUCCGGAAUUGCCUUUAAGACUGCAUCGCUUGAAUCCGGGAGAGGUGAGUGGAAUUCCGAGUGUAGAGGUGAAAUUCGUAGAUAUUCGGAAGAACACCAGUGGCGAAGGCGGCUCACUGGACCGGUAUUGACGCUGAGGUGCGAAAGCGUGGGGAGCAAACAGG